UACGGUAGGGUGCGAGCGUUAAUCGGAAUUACUGGGCGUAAAGCGUGCGCAGGCGGUGAUGUAAGACAGAUGUGAAAUCCCCGGGCUCAACCUGGGAACUGCAUUUGUGACUGCAUCGCUGGAGUGCGGCAGAGGGGGAUGGAAUUCCGCGUGUAGCAGUGAAAUGCGUAGAUAUGGCGGAGGAACACCGAUGGCGAAGGCAAUCCCCUGGGCCUGCACUGACGCUCAUGCACGAAAGCGUGGGAGC
rnacentral:rRNA from 1 species